AAGAGCUUGCUCUUAUGAAGUUAGCGGCGGACGGGUGAGUAACACGUGGGUAACCUGCCCAUAAGACUGGGAUAACUCCGGGAAACCGGGGCUAAUACCGGAUAACAUUUUGAACCGCAUGGUUCGAAAUUGAAAGGCGGCUUCGGCUGUCACUUAUGGAUGGACCCGCGUCGCAUUAGCUAGUUGGUGAGGUAACGGCUCACCAAGGCAACGAUGCGUAGCCGACCUGAGAGGGUGAUCGGCCACACUGGGACUGAGACACGGCCCAGACUCCUACGGGAGGCAGCAGUAGGGAAUCUUCCGCAAUGGACGAAAGUCUGACGGAGCAACGCCGCGUGAGUGAUGAAGGCUUUCGGGUCGUAAAACUCUGUUGUUAGGGAAGAACAAGUGCUAGUUGAAUAAGCUGGCACCUUGACGGUACCUAACCAGAAAGCCACGGCUAACUACGUGCCAGCAGCCGCGGUAAUACGUAGGUGGCAAGCGUUAUCCGGAAUUAUUGGGCGUAAAGCGCGCGCAGGUGGUUUCUUAAGUCUGAUGUGAAAGCCCACGGCUCAACCGUGGAGGGUCAUUGGAAACUGGGAGACUUGAGUGCAGAAGAGGAAAGUGGAAUUCCAUGUGUAGCGGUGAAAUGCGUACAGAUAUGGAGGAACACCAGUGGCGAAAGGCGACUUUUCUG
rnacentral:rRNA from 1 species